rnacentral:rRNA from 1 species
UACGUAGGGAGCAAGCGUUAUCCGGAUUUAUUGGGUGUAAAGGGUGCGUAGACGGAGAAGCAAGUUAGUUGUGAAAUCCCUCGGCUUAACUGAGGAACUGCAACUAAAACUACUUCCCUUGAGUACUGGAGAGGAAAGUGGAAUUCCUAGUGUAGCGGUGAAAUGCGUAGAUAUUAGGAGGAACACCAGUGGCGAAGGCGACUUACUGGACAGUAACUGACGUUGAGGCUCGAAAGCGUGGGGAGCAAACAGG